GACGAACGCUGGCGGCGUGCUUAACACAUGCAAGUCGAACGGAAAGGCCCUGCUUUUGUGGGGUGCUCGAGUGGCGAACGGGUGAGUAACACGUGAGUAACCUGCCCUUGACUUUGGGAUAACUUCAGGAAACUGGGGCUAAUACCGGAUAGGAGCUCCUGCUGCAUGGUGGGGGUUGGAAAGUUUCGGCGGUUGGGGAUGGACUCGCGGCUUAUCAGCUUGUUGGUGGGGUAGUGGCUUACCAAGGCUUUGACGGGUAGCCGGCCUGAGAGGGUGACCGGCGACAUUGGGACUGAGAUACGGCCCAGACUCCUACGGGCGGCAGCAGUGGGGAAUAUUGCACAAUGGGCGGAAGCCUGAUGCAGCAGCGCCGCGUGCGGGAUGACGGCCUUCGGGUUGUAAACCGCUUUCGCCUGUGACGAAGCGUGAGUGACGGUAAUGGGUAAAGAAGCACCGGCUAACUACGUG
rnacentral:rRNA from 1 species